rnacentral:Y_RNA from 1 species
GGCAGUCUGAGUGCGUGGGUGUUUACAACUUGUUGAUCACAAUCAGUUACAGACUACUUUGUUCCUUCUCUAUUCCCACUGCUUUGUGAGGACUAGCCUUUA